rnacentral:rRNA from 1 species
GACGAACGCUGGCGGCGUGCUUAACACAUGCAAGUCGAACGAAGAGCGAUGGAAGCUUGCUUCUAUCAAUCUUAGUGGCGAACGGGUGAGUAACGCGUAAUCAACCUGCCCUUCAGAGGGGGACAACAGUUGGAAACGACUGCUAAUACCGCAUACGAUCCAAUCUCGGCAUCGAGACUGGAUGAAAGGUGGCCUCUAUUUAUAAGCUAUCACUGAAGGAGGGGAUUGCGUCUGAUUAGCUAGUUGGAGGGGUAACGGCCCACCAAGGCGAUGAUCAGUAGCCGGUCUGAGAGGAUGAACGGCCACAUUGGGACUGAGACACGGCCCAGACUCCUACGGGAGGCAGCAGUGGGGAAUCUUCCGCAAUGGACGAAAGUCUGACGGAGCAACGCCGCGUGAGUGAUGACGGCCUUCGGGUUGUAAAGCUCUGUUAAUCGGGACGAAUGGUUCUUGUGCAAAUAGUGCGAGG